rnacentral:misc_RNA from 1 species
GAUGAAGAACGCAGCGAAAUGCGAUAAGUAAUGUGAAUUGCAGAAUUCAGUGAAUCAUCGAGUCUUUGAACGCACAUUGCGCCCCCUGGUAUUCCGGGGGGCAUGCCUGUCCGAGCGUCAUUGCCGCCCUCAAGCACGGCUUGUGUGUUGGGCCCCCGCCCCCCGGCUUCGGGGGGCGGGCCCGAAAGGCAGCGGCGGCACCGCGUCCGGUCCUCGAGCGUAUGGGGCUUCGUCACCCGCUCUGUAGGCCCGGCCGGCGCCCGCCGGCGACCCCAAUCAAUCUUUCCAGGUUGACCUCGGAUCAGGUAGGGAUACCCGCUGUACUUAAGCAUAUCAAUAAGCGGAGGA